AAGCCCGCAGCUUGCUGUGGGUGGAUGAGUGGCGAACGGGUGAGUAACACGUGAGUAACCUGCCCCUGACUCUGGGAUAAGCCUGGGAAACUGGGUCUAAUACCGGAUAUGACCAUUCUCCGCAUGGAGUGGUGGUGGAAAGUUCUUCGGUUGGGGAUGGGCUCGCGGCCUAUCAGCUUGUUGGUGGGGUGAUGGCCUACCAAGGCGACGACGGGUAGCCGGCCUGAGAGGGCGACCGGCCACACUGGGACUGAGACACGGCCCAGACUCCUACGGGAGGCAGCAGUGGGGAAUAUUGCACAAUGGGGGAAACCCUGAUGCAGCGACGCCGCGUGGGGGAUGACGGCCUUCGGGUUGUAAACCUCUUUCAGUAGGGAAGAAGCCUUCGGGUGACGGUACCUGCAGAAGAAGUACCGGCUAACUACGUGCCAGCAGCCGCGGUAAUACGUAGGGUACAAGCGUUGUCCGGAAUUAUUGGGCGUAAAGAGCUCGUAGGUGGUCUGUCACGUCUGCUGUGGAAACGCAAGGCUCAACCUUGCGCGUGCAGUGGGUACGGGCGGACUAGAGUGCAGUAGGGGAGUCUGGAAUUCCUGGUGUAGCGGUGAAAUGCGCAGAUAUCAGGAGGAACACCGGUGGCGAAGGCGGGACUCUGGGCUGUAACUGACGCUGAGGAGCGAAAGCAUGGGGAGCGAACAGGAUUAGAUACCCUGGUAGUCCAUGCCGUAAACGUUGGGCACUAGGUGUGGG
rnacentral:rRNA from 1 species